CACGUAGGAGGCGAGCGUUGUCCGGAAUCAUUGGGCGUAAAGAGCGCGCAGGCGGCUUGGCAAGUCGGGUGUGAAAUCCCGGGGCUCAACCCCGUGACUGCAUCCGAUACUGUCAGGCUAGAGGUAGGUAGGGGAGAUCGGAAUUCCUGGUGUAGCGGUGAAAUGCGCAGAUAUCAGGAGGAACACCGGUGGCGAAGGCGGCUCUCUGGACGGUGACUGACGCUGAGACGCGAAAGCGUGGGGAGCAAACAGG
rnacentral:rRNA from 1 species